CCUACGGGUGGCAGCAGUGGGGAAUAUUGCGCAAUGGGCGAAAGCCUGACGCAGCGACGCCGCGUGAGGGAUGAAGGUCUUCGGAUCGUAAACCUCUGUCAGCAGGGAAGAACGGUCACUGUGCUAAUCAGCAGUGAAUUGACGGUACCUGCAAAGGAAGCACCGGCUAACUCCGUGCCAGCAGCUGCGGUAAUACGGAGGGUGCGAGCGUUAAUCGGAAUUACUGGGCGUAAAGCGCUCGUAGGCGUUAUGUCAAGUCAAGGGUGAAAUCCCCGCGCUCAACGGUGGAACUGCCUUUGAAACUGGCAAACUUGAGUGUGUGAGAGGAUAGUGGAAUUCCAGGUGUAGGAGUGAAAUCCGUAGAUAUCUGGAGGAACAGCAGUGGCGAAGGCGACUAUCUGGCACAUAACUGACGCUGAGGAGCGAAAGCGUGGGUAGCAAACAGGAUUAGAUACCCUGGUAGUC
rnacentral:rRNA from 1 species